ensembl:lncRNA
GGGUGAAACAAAAGAGAAACUCAUGGAGGGAAUAAAUUUAAGAAUGGUAUGCUUCAGUCUGCAUCCAGACUCUGUCAGUUCCUUCUUUGGCAAUGAUUAGCCUUUUUUUGUGUUGAGUUCCAUGAAGUUGUUUUGGAUUCUUGCACUGAUGAUGAAGUUAAGUCAUUCACAAUUGAUCAUUGUACUUUAUUGCUUUUACUGUGUCUAGUGUUCUGAUUCUGCUUUCUUCACUUAGCAUAACCACAUAUAGGAUUUUCUAGACUUUUUAGUAAUGAUCUUAUAUUGUUUUAAUAUAUGCAACCUCAGAACCAUUUUUUUGCUUAAUGCUAAAUUUUACAACAUUGAUUAUUAUUUACUACCUGCCUAUGAAACACAGGGAGAACUGCAGUAGAUUAAAAAUAUAAAUUAAUGAUUUAUCAUAUAAUUAUUUAAUUUAAUUAAUGAAAAGAAUAAUGAAUAGAAGUGAAUUUACUCUUACAGAUACACUAAAAGAGAAUAAAGGAAUGGAAGAAACAACAUAUAUGAUUACAAAAUUUAUCUUUGCAAACUUGACUACCAUCGUUCUGUCAUUUGAGAGGCAUGGGUAUAGUAAGUUCACGUGUAUAAGGUUUGCUGCUGCUUUUCCCAGGCUGAGAUUUGGGAUUUGCUUUGGCACUGCCUGUGCUAGACUCUGCUUCACUAUCAUCCCAGUGAUAAAGUUGGUUCUGCCUCUACCGAAUUGUUUUGAGAUGUUAUUCUAACACUGUUUGAAGGGAAUAUGGGAGAGUUCAGGGAUUCCCAUGGUAAUGCUGGCUCUGCCAUGUUGUUACUAAUGAUGACACAGAUGCCAGAGGGACACCAGAAUCCAAAUGGAAGAAAUGCUAUGGAAACAAUUCAUUUAUGAUGCUAGCAGCUUUAUGGAGCAUCUUUUGGGAACUGAAGGUGUACUUAUGUCUCAAGGGAAAGCUGAGAGAAUAAUUGUGGCAUAAGUUCAUUUAAGACUCUUCUAGCUGGCUUUCCUAAUAUGGAGCUUCUGUUUUAUACCUUAUACAUCCCAUACCUGGCUGUGUAUCAUUGCCAACUUUGUCCUGGCAUUAAUUAAUUAAUACUUGAAAGGAGGGGGGCACUUUUCCCUUAUUUUAGUCAUGCCCCCCUUCUUUUUUCUUUCAUGACAAUUUUUCCAUAAUCACAAAAGGUGAUACAAUCAUUAGACAAAUGCUGGAACAUAUAGGAAUUAAAAUCAAAUAGAUGACUACUGAGUUUAUCAACUACAUGUAACUAGUGACAAGGUCUUUGAAAAUAUAUGAGGUUAUGAGAAUAAUGGAAAAAUUUUGCAGUAGUAGCUUAUGAAACAAAAGUAUAAGUCUAAUUAGUGGCAUUGGUAAGGUUAAGUUUGGUUGUUAAAUUAGUUAUCAGAAGAGAAGAAUGACUUAUGAUCUCAUUACCUCAACAAGAUAUUCAGUCAGUUAGGUGUGGAAUUUAAUUUGGUAUUAAUUGUUGUAUAUAUAAAGCAUAAUCAGAAAGUACAGAAGAAUUCAAAGGGAUUUGAAACAAGUUUGUGUUUUUAAGACUUUAAUAUUAGUGAAAUAUCUAAUCCAUUUUAGCAAUGUUAUUGGCAACUAAAUUGAUUUCUUUUUAGAUAGACUCCUCUCCAUGGCCCUUUGUUAAAAUGAACUUAGAAUUAAGAACAAAUUCUUCCAUGUGAUUUAAAAGAACAUUGUUAUUAGAUCACCUCAUUCUUCUUGGGAGAGAAAUGAGGCUCUUGAUAGUAUCUUAUUUUCCUCUGGGUAGA